rnacentral:tRNA from 1 species
AGAGAGGUGGCCGAGUGGCUUAAGGCGCACGCUUGGAAAGCGUGUAAACAGCAAUGUUUCGGGGGUUCGAAUCCCUUCCUCUCUG